UAUCUCUCCCUCUGCCCUCCCCAUCUCUCACCCUGUCUACCUCCUACACGAACAGCCCUAUCUCCUUCCUCACCAGCGCCACCGCCCCUCCUCCCUCACUGUGAUUCCCUCUCCUCCUCCCACACCGGCGGCCGGCGACGGCAGAGCGCGUAUGGAGGAGCAGAAGCGACGGCAGCGCACGCGUGGAGGAGCAGCGCCGGCAGCAGCACGUGUAGGAGCAGCAGCGCGGGUGAAGGAGCAGCGGCGGCAGCAGCACGUGGAGGAGCAGCACGGCGCCUGCAGCACCGGCGGCGGUGCUUGGAGGAGCAGCAUCGUGCGGGGCCUGGAGCGGAGCAGCGUUGCCGGAUUUGCCGACCUGCGGCCUCCUCGACCAACGCCUGGAGGAGAAGCGGCUCGCGGGACCUCGAGCAGCGGCGGCGCGUGGCACUUGGAGGAGCAGCCGACGGCCAUGGCGCCGAUUGCGGCCGCCAAGACGCUGGAUCCGGCCGCCCUAACAAUUAUGCCAACAAUUUGUGUGCGAUUAGAACAAAAUAAACAUGGCUAGCAUUAUAUGCUAGCCAUGAGUUUUUUUUUAAUUAUGGCCACAACUCAUCAGUGUCGGUCACUGCUUGUGCCCGCCACUGAUGCUGAUGUUCAGUACAUUAGUGACAGGGAGUUAGUGACGGGUGGCCCGCCCGUUACUGAUAUGCUUUUUCGACCGUUAAUGAUAACCGUUUCUGUAGUAGUGGAAGGAGAUGGGAGGGAGAGAUCUCGAUCGGAAGAGAAGGGAAAAUCAGAGUGGGGGAGGGAAUGGAGAAAUCGAUCGAGUGAGCCUGCAGAUCUGUUUCCCCUAAUUAAAUCGUGCUUGGAUUACAA